rnacentral:rRNA from 1 species
AUUGAACGCUGGCGGCAUGCCUUACACAUGCAAGUCGAACGGUAACGCGGGGCAACCUGGCGACGAGUGGCGAACGGGUGAGUAAUAUAUCGGAACGUGCCCAGUAGUGGGGGAUAGCCCGGCGAAAGCCGGAUUAAUACCGCAUACGACCUACGGGUGAAAGGCGGGGGAUCGCAAGACCUCGCGCUAUUGGAGCGGCCGAUAUCAGAUUAGGUAGUUGGGUGGGGGUAAAGGCCUACCAAGCCUACGAUCUGUAGCUGGUCUGAGAGGACGACCAGCCACACUGGGACUGAGACACGGCCCAGACUCCUACGGGAGGCAGCAGGU